AAGUGGCGGCGUGCCUAUACAUGCAAGUCGAGCGAGCUUGCCUAGAUGAUUUUAGUGCUUGCACUAAAUGAAACCAUAUACAAGCGAGCGGCGGACGGGUGAGUAACACGUGGGUAACCUGCCCAAGAGACUGGGAUAACACCUGGAAACAGAUGCUAAUACCGGAUAACAACACUAGACGCAUGUCUAGAGUUUGAAAGAUGGUUCUGCUAUCACUCUUGGAUGGACCUGCGGUGCAUUAGCUAGUUGGUAAGGUAACGGCUUACCAAGGCAAUGAUGCAUAGCCGAGUUGAGAGACUGAUCGGCCACAUUGGGACUGAGACACGGCCCAAACUCCUACGGGAGGCAGCAGUAGGGAAUCUUCCACAAUGGACGAAAGUCUGAUGGAGCAACGCCGCGUGAGUGAAGAAGGGUUUCGGCUCGUAAAGCUCUGUUGGUAGUGAAGAAAGAUAGAGGUAGUAACUGGCCUUUAUUUGACGGUAAUUACUUAGAAAGUCACGGCUAACUACGUGCCAGCAGCCGCGGUAAUACGUAGGUGGCAAGCGUUGUCCGGAUUUAUUGGGCGUAAAGCGAGUGCAGGCGGUUCAAUAAGUCUGAUGUGAAAGCCUUCGGCUCAACCGGAGAAUUGCAUCAGAAACUGUUGAACUUGAGUGCAGAAGAGGAGAGUGGAACUCCAUGUGUAGCGGUGGAAUGCGUAGAUAUAUGGAAGAACACCAGUGGCGAAGGCGGCUCUCUGGUCUGCAACUGACGCUGAGGCUCGAAAGCAUGGGUAGCGAAUAAGAUUAGAUACCCUGGUAGUC
rnacentral:rRNA from 1 species